rnacentral:rRNA from 1 species
GUGUCAGCAGCCGCGGUAAUACAGAGGGUGCGAGCGUUGUUCGGAAUCAUUGGGCGUAAAGCGCUUGUAGGCGGCCUGUCAAGUCGCGUGUGAAAUCCCCUGGCUUAACCAGGGAAGUGCGCGCGAAACUGGCGGGCUUGAGUGCCGGAGAGGGUCGCGGAAUUCCCGGUGUAGAGGUGAAAUUCGUAGAUAUCGGGAGGAACACCAGUGGCGAAGGCGGCGACCUGGACGGACACUGACGCUGAGACGCGAAAGCGUGGGGAGCAAACAGGAUUAGAUACCCUGGUAGUCCACGCUGUAAACGAUGGGUGCUAGUUGUGGCGGGUUUUGACCCCUGCCGUGACGCAGCUAACGCAAUAAGCACCCCGCCUGGGAAGUACGGCCGCAAGGCUAAA